CAGAUCUCUUGUAAGAGCUCAACUUGCUGAAUUGACAGUGGUCUCCACGGACAUUAUCCCGAGACAUACAAGGGCUAUUCAUCCAUUGCACAAUGGCUAGCAAAGGCACCAAAAGAAAGCAUAAUCAUGAAUCAUCUGACUCAAGUACAGAAUCACCACUGACAACAG